UGGAGUAUAGCCAAGUGGUAAGGCAUUGGUUUUUUGUACCGGCAUGCAAAGGUUCGAAUCCUUUUACUCCAG
rfam:Solanum lycopersicum cultivar Heinz 1706 chromosome 11, whole genome shotgun sequence.